GACGAACGCUGGCGGCGUGCUUAACACAUGCAAGUCGAACGGAAAGGCCCUGCUUGCCGGGUACUCGCGUGGCGAACGGGUGAGUAACACGUGGGUGAUCUGCCCUGCACUUCGGGAUAAGCCUGGGAAACUGGGUCUAAUACCGGGUAGGAGCCCUUUUGAGUGUGAUGGUUGGAAAGUUUUUUCGGUGUAGGAUGAGCUCGCGGCCUAUCAGCUUGUUUGUGGGGUAAUGGCCUACCAAGGCGGCGGCGGGUAGCCGGCCUGGGAGGGUGGACGGCCACAUUGGGGCUGAGAUACGGCCCAGACUCCUACGGGGGGCAGGAGUGGGGAAUAUUGCACAAAGGGCGCGAGCCUGAUGCAGCGACGCCGCGUGGGGGAUGACGGGCUUCGGGUUGGAAACUCCCUUCGCUAGGGACGAAGCUGUUUGUGACGGUACCUAGAGAAGAAGCACCGGCUAACUACGUG
rnacentral:rRNA from 1 species